AGAGGAGGAGGGAGUAGAUCUGGAGGGGCUACUGGCGAACAAGAUGGGGGCUAACAAAUGCAACAUCAAGUUGGAGAUAGAUCUGUACUUCCACAGCACCUCAAAAAGGAGGCAGAGCCACCCAGGAGUGGAUAACUCUGAAGGCCUCCACCCUGCAGAAAAGCCCACCUGCCUGUGGCAAUUGUCAAGGAACAAUUGCAGACUCAGCCCAAUUGCAGACUCACACUAGCAUCAGGGAGCUCCAGACAGCAAUGGUGGAGUGUCUCCAAAGUCCUCAGGGAAACUAUUUUGAACCUAGCUUUCUACACUCAGCCAAAUUUCAAGUGUGAGGGCUAGAGAACGGCGCUUGCUACUAUGUAAGAAUUCAGUAUGUUUAGUAAUCACACAGCCAGGAAGAAAAAAUUACUUCUGAGGUAACCCAGCAAAAUCUAAAAAUAAGCCAAGAAAGAAGAAAACAUGAGAUAUAAGAAGCUGCAGCUACCCGAUAUGACCCAAGAAGGUUUACAGACAUGAAAAAGAAAAUUAAAGGUCGCUAUUUUACCGCUGAGCCACCAGGGAUGCCCAGAGAGAUUUGUUCUCAGUGCUGGAGAAGACUGAGAGUCAUUUGGACUGCCAGGAGAUCAAACCAAUCAAUACUGAAGAAAAUCAACCCUGAAUAUUCAUUGAAAGGAUUGAUGCUGAAGCUCCAAUAUUCUGGCCACCUAAUGCAAACAGCCGACUCACUGGAAAAGAUUCUGAUGCUAGGAAAGAUUGAAGGCAGGAGGAGAAGUGGGUGGCAGAGGAUGAGAUGGUUAGAUAGUAUCACCAACUCAAUGGUCAUGAAUUUGAGUAAAGUCCAGGAGACAGUGAAAGACAGGGAAGUCUGGUGUGCUGCGGUCCGUGGGGUUAGAAAGAGCUGGACACAACUUAGCGACUGAACAACAACAAAUUGCAUAAAUACUAAUGCAAUUUAAAAAUAGGAGUUAAAUAGAAGACAUUCACGUUACAAAUUCCUCACAUUUUUUACCUUGAAGCCAGUGUAUAUGCCUGAAUUGGAUAAAAAUAAGAAAUAGAAGAAUAAUUAUAUAUUUUUAAAUUAAAGUGAAAACUGUUAGAAGCAGAAACAGAAAUUGUUAGUAGAAUAGGAGGACACUGGGGAUUAAGGAAAGGGAGAUUUUACUUUUUAUUUUAAAUAUGCCUAUGUGGUGUGAUAAAACACAAAACAAAACGUGAGCAUGCACCACCUUUAUGGUUAUAUAUCUUCAGCAUCUUUCCAGGUGUAACCCAAAUGUUACCAGCCUGCUGAUAUAAUUGAGAUCACAUUUAUAUUUACGUUUGAAAUGUGUGUGUGCUCACUCAGCCGUGUCCGAUUCUUUGCAGCCCCAUGGACUGUAGCUUACACCACCAGGCUCCUUCUGUCCAUGGAAUUUUUCAGGGGAGAAAGAAUGAACGAAUGAGAUCAAUAAGUAAACCAACACAGUCACGUGUUUGGAUGGCUCUUUCUUCUUUUUCAAGAA
ensembl:lncRNA